rnacentral:rRNA from 1 species
UACAGAGGUCUCGAGCGUUGUUCGGAUUCAUUGGGCGUAAAGGGUGCGUAGGCGGCGCUGUAAGUCAGGUGUGAAAUUUCGGAGCUUAACUCCGAAACUGCAUUUGAUACUGCGGUGCUUGAGGACUGGAGAGGAGACUGGAAUUUACGGUGUAGCAGUGAAAUGCGUAGAGAUCGUAAGGAAGACCAGUGGCGAAGGCGGGUCUCUGGACAGUUCCUGACGCUGAGGCGCGAAGGCGAGGGGAGCAAACGGG